rnacentral:rRNA from 1 species
AGGCAUGCAAGUCGAACGCGAUCCAGGGGGCAACUCCUGGUGAAAGUGGCGGAAGGGUGAGUAACGCAUAGACAACGUACCCCCGAGAUGGGGAUAACUCAGGGAAACCUGAGCUAAUACCCAAUGGUGUCACUGGAGGGCCUCCUCUGGUGACUAAAGGUGGCCUCUGAACCAUGCUCCCGCUCGGGGAGCGGUCUAUGUCCUAUCAGCUAGUUGGUGGGGUAACGGCCCACCAAGGCUUCGACGGGUAGCCGGCCUUAGCGGGUGUCCGGCCACACUGGGACUGAGAUACUGCCCAGACUCCUACGGGAGGCUGCAGUCGAGGAUCUUCUGCAAUGGGCGCAAGCCUGACAGAGCGACGCCGCGUGUGGGAUGAAGGCCUUCGGGUUGUAAACCACUGUCACCGGUUACGAAAAGCUAGGAGGUUAAUAGCCUCUUAGUUUGACUAAGGCCGGAGAGGAAGCCACGGCUAACUUCGUGCCAGCAGCCGCGGUAAUACAGA